rnacentral:rRNA from 1 species
CGUCAUCAGUGAGCGAGAGGAGUCUUACUAGAGUCGCUAAUGAGGCGUACCGAGAGACCCCCUAUAAAUAGAUUACCUAUUGUUGUUGCCUUAGUGCUAGCUAGCCCCCUAGGGGGCCCCCCUAUACCCGUAGGGGAGUAGGCCCGCCGGUAGCCCUAUAAACUAUUAUCUCUAAGAAUCUCUCUAAGUUAGACCGAAAUAAAUUAAAGCCUUUAAUAACGGAUCUCUUAGCUCUAGUAUUAAUAAAGAAUAUAGCAAAAUGUAAUAAGUAAUAUAAAUUAUAGAAUUUAGUAAAUUAUCGAAUCUUUAAAUAUAUAUUACACCCUCUAGUAUUCCAGAGGGUAUACCUAUCCGAGUAUUAUUUCACCCCUUAAGCCCCUAUACUUAGUACUAGGGCACUACCUAGUAAUAGGUAGGCCCCGAAAUUUAGUAGUAAACCGGCUAGACUUCUUAAGUAUAGUAGUUUACCUUGCUAUAGAGCUCUAGCCUAUCCUACUAUAAAACCCCCCUACUCUAAAUAAUUAACCUCGGAUUAGGUAGGAAUACCUGCUAAACUUAAGCAUAUCAAUAAGCGGAGGAAUCAA